rnacentral:rRNA from 1 species
CAAUAGCGUAUAUUUAAGUUGUUGCAGUUAAAAAGCUCGUAGUUGGAUUUCGGGUGUGAACGACCGGUCCGUCUUUGAUGUGUACUGGUUGGUUGCGCCUUAUUGUCGAGGACGUGGUUCUAGCUUUCAUUAGCCGGGACACGGAGUCGGCAGCGUUACUUUGAGAAAAUUAGAGUGUUCAAAGCAGGCUAUCGCUCUGAAUACUACAGCAUGGAAUAACACGAUAGGACUCCGAGCCUAUUCUGUUGGUCUUCGGGACCGGAGUAAUGAUUAAGAGGGACGGUUGGGGGCAUUCGUAUUCCGAUGUCAGAGGUGAAAUUCUUGGAUUAUCGGAAGACGAGCAUCUGCGAAAGCAUUUGCCAAGGAUGUUUUCAUUAA